AUUAAUAAUCAUUGUGUCAAGAAAACACAAAGUCCUGAUUCCUGGAAGGGGGCCUCUGUGUUGCAGAGAGAUACACAUAAACACACAAGACUUGGAGAGGCCAAGAACAUUGUUGGACAGGAGCUGUGGGUACCUAGGAGGAAAAUGGAGCUGAGGCAGCACUAUGGGGAGGCCAUGCAACUGACAGUUGUUACAGGGAACAUUUCUCAUGUGUAAACAGAAAAGAAGGAAGAAACAGAAGAGAACUAAGAAAAGCGACUCUCCUGUCACAGAAUUGCCAGGGAACAAAUAAGCCUUCAAGCUGUCCUACCAUACACAGGGGAUCCUGUCAAUUUGGGUUACAGUUCUUGUUUUAUUAUAUGCUCUGAAAGGGCAAAAUGGAUCCAUUUAUCAUUCCAAAUUCAGUGCCUGUGGGCUUCUGCAGCACAAGAGGCCAUUUCACAGACAUUCCUGUAUUGAUGGCAGACUUUAUUCUUCUGCCGGCAUGAAAGGAAGAGACAGAGGAGAUGAGACCAAAAUUUCAGCUCCUGAGUUGGAGUUCUUUUCAUGCACCUGUCACCUGUGGAUUCCACCAAGUGUGGGCCGUGAGCCAGCAACAUCUGCAGCCCUGGUGAGUGUGGAAGACCAAGGAUUUCAAGUCUUGACCCAGACCUCCUGCAGUGCAACAUGAAUAUUAACAACAUCCUCCCCCACAUCAGCUGAGUCCAACUCAUGUCAAGUUGACAAACUGAGACAGCUCACCAGCAGACACUCCCUAGGACCUCUCCAUCAAGUGUAUCUGGGACCUGCUAUUCUGCAAAGGGUUCAACGACUCCUCCAGGUCCAACUCCUCCAGGACUUGGGCAAGAAAGAACUUUAAAAUCAUCCACACAUUCCUUUUCACUCUGUGAAUAAUAAGCUUGUGAGAUCAUUGUCAGCUGGGACCAUUGGGAGCUCUUACUCUGUUAAGCACAGAGUUAUCAAAGCCAUGAAGUGGAAUUGGACUUACUUAGCAGGAUCCUUGAAAUCCUCUAAUGUUCAGGGGAAAGAAAAUUUGAACAUAUUGAAU